AUACGUAGGGGGCGAGCGUUGUCCGGAAUGAUUGGGCGUAAAGGGCGCGUAGGCGGCCUGUUAAGUCUGGAGUGAAAGUCCUGUUUUCAAGAUGGGAAUUGCUUUGGAUACUGAUGGGCUUGAGUGCAGGAGAGGUUAUCGGAAUUCCCGGUGUAGCGGUGAAAUGCGUAGAGAUCGGGAGGAACACCAGUGGCGAAGGCGGGUAACUGGACUGCAACUGACGCUGAGGCGCGAAAGUGUGGGGAGCAAACAGGAUUAGAUACCCUGGUAGUCCACACUGUAAACGAUGAAUACUAGGUGUGGGGGGACUGACCCCCUCCGUGCCGCAGUUAGCACAAUAAGUAUUCCACCUGGGGAGUACGGCCGCAAGGUUGAAACUCAAAUGAAUUGGCGGGG
rnacentral:rRNA from 1 species